UUAGGAAUCUUCCCCAAUGGGCGCAAGCCUGAGGGAGCGACACUGCGUGAAGGACGAAGGUUUUCGGAUCGUAAACUUCUGAACGAGGGACGAAAGAUGACGGUACCUCGCUAAAAGCACCGGCUAACUCCGUGCCAGCAGCCGCGGUAAUACGGAGGGUGCAAGCGUUAUCCGGAAUAAUUGGGCGUAAAGCGUUCGUAGGUGGUUUUGUAAGUCUGCUGUUAAAGCGUGUAGCUCAACUACAUAUAGGCAGUGGAAACUACAAAACUUGAGUGCGUUCGGGGCAGAGGGAAUUCCUAGUGUAGCGGUGAAAUGCGUAGAGAUUAGGAAGAACACCGGUGGCGAAAGCGCUCUGCUAGGCCGCAACUGACACUGAGGGACGAAAGCUAGGGGAGCGAAUGGGAUUAGAUACCCCCGUAGUCC
rnacentral:rRNA from 1 species